rnacentral:misc_RNA from 1 species
GUUGAAGAACGCAGCAAAAUGCGAUAAGUAAUGUGAAUUGCAGAAUUCAGUGAAUCAUCGAAUCUUUGAACGCACAUUGCGCCCGCCAGUAUUCUGGCGGGCAUGCCUGUUCGAGCGUCAUUUCAACCCUCAAGCUCAGCUUGGUGUUGGGACUCGCGGUAACCCGCGUUCCCCAAAUCGAUUGGCGGUCACGUCGAGCUUCCAUAGCGUAGUAAUCAUACACCUCGUUACUGGUAAUCGUCGCGGCCACGCCGUAAAACCCCAACUUCUGAAUGUUGACCUCGGAUCAGGUAGGAAUACCCGCUGAACUUAAGCAUAUCAAUAAGCGGAGGA